UACGAGGGGUGCAAGCGUUGCUCGGAAUUAUUGGGCGUAAAGGGUAGGUAGGUGGUCUCAUUUGUCCGGGGUGAAAGCCUUGAGCUUAACUCAAGAAGUGCCUCGGAAACGGUGAGACUAGAGUCCUGGAGAGGGUCGUGGAAUUCCCGGUGUAGCGGUGAAAUGCGUAGAGAUCGGGAGGAACACCAGAGGCGAAGGCGGCGACCUGGACAGGCACUGACACUCAACUACGAAAGCGUGGGGAGCAAACAGG
rnacentral:rRNA from 1 species